rnacentral:lncRNA from 1 species
AUAAAAGACAGAGACCUACGACAUCAGUCUGUAGAGGAAAUUACCACAAAGAACGUGAUCAUAAUGGAGGUAAUUUGAUGGAGGAACAUGAAGAUUGACAUAGUGAGAAUGAAUGAUUCCAUGGAGGACCUUCAGACUUCUCUACUAGUUAGUUUCGCAGAUGAUGUCAUCGUGAGGCUAUGAGAAGGUGAGGUAAGUGAAAAACUGUUUAGUUAACUUCUAAUAAUUAUCAUGACGUUGAGUUACUAACACAAAUGUAUUUGUUAGGAUAGUGGAGAAUUGAAGUUGUUAUCCAUUGGUCGAAAAUUAUUGAAGCAAUUGGACAAUUAUGCUAUUCUAAUUUAGGUAUAAGACAAACAACAUUAAUGUUUAUUAGGUUCAUUAUCAUAUGAAUACUUGAAUAAUUACUUUGUUCAAAUUACACAGACAUGGAUAUAUGAACAUUUUUUGGGCAUGGGGAGAAGAGAUAUAAAUCUCCUUUAUGAUGAGGUACACCUGCAUGCAACUCGAUAUCUCACUAGACGAGAUAUUUGUAUUGUUGGUGUUGUCUGGAUG